GACGAACGCUGGCGGCGUGCUUAACACAUGCAAGUCGAACGGAAAGGCCCUCCUGUGGGGUACUCGAGGGGCGAACGGGGGGGGAGUACGAGAGUAACAUCCCCCUCUCGUUGUUAGAAUGUCAUGAAACAGGGGCGAAUACCGUAGAGGAGCACCUGCUGCAUGGUGGGGGGGGGAGAGUUUCGGCGGCUGGGGCUGGACUCGCGGCUUAUCAGCGGGUUGGUGGGGUAGUGGCUCACCAAGGAGGUGACGGGUAGCCGGCCGGAGAGGGUGACCGGCCACAUUGGGACUGAGAUACGGCCCAGACUCCUACGGGAGGCAGCAGUGGGGAAUAUUGCACAAUGGGCGGAAGCCUGAUGCAGCAACGCCGCGUGCGGGAUGACGGCCUUCGGGUUGUAAACCGCUUUCGCCUGUGACGAAGCGUGAGUGACGGUAAUGGGUAAAGAAGCACCGGCUAACUACGUG
rnacentral:rRNA from 1 species